rnacentral:rRNA from 1 species
UACGUAGGGUGCAAGCGUUAAUCGGAAUUACUGGGCGUAAAGCGUGCGCAGGCGGUUGUGUAAGACAGAUGUGAAAUCCCCGGGCUCAACCUGGGAACUGCAUUUGUGACUGCACAGCUGGAGUGCGGCAGAGGGGGAUGGAAUUCCGCGUGUAGCAGUGAAAUGCGUAGAUAUGCGGAGGAACACCGAUGGCGAAGGCAAUCCCCUGGACCUGUACUGACGCUCAUGCACGAAAGCGUGGGGAGCAAACGAGG